CCCUUAGAUGUUCUGGGCUGCACGCGCGCUACACUGAUGCGCUCAACGAGUUUACGACCUUGCCCGGAAGGGUUGGGUAAUCUUUUCAAAACGCAUCGUGAUGGGGAUAGAUUAUUGCAAUUAUUAAUCUUCAACGAGGAAUGCCUAGUAGGCGCAAGUCAUCAGCUUGCGUCGAUUACGUCCCUGCCCUUUGCACACACCGCCCGUCGCUCCUACCGAUCGGGUGUGCUGGUGAAAUGUUCGGAUCGGCCGUUUGUCGCGGUUUCCGCGGCUCGUGGCUGAGAAGUUCAUUAAACCCUCCCACCUAGAGGAAGGAGAAGUCGUAACA
rnacentral:rRNA from 1 species